rnacentral:rRNA from 1 species
GACGAACGCUGGCGGCGUGCUUAACACAUGCAAGUCGAACGCUGAAGCACCAGCUUGCUGGUGUGGAUGAGUGGCGAACGGGUGAGUAAUACGUGAGUAACCUGCCCUUGACUCUGGGAUAAGCCCGGGAAACUGGGUCUAAUACUGGAUGCUACAUGUCACCGCAUGGUGGCGUGUGGAAAGGGUUUACUGGUCUUGGAUGGGCUCACGGCCUAUCAGCUUGUUGGUGAGGUAAUAGCUCACCAAGGCGACGACGGGUAGCCGGCCUGAGAGGGUGACCGGCCACACUGGGACUGAGACACGGCCCAGACUCCUACGGGAGGCAGCAGUGGGGAAUAUUGCACAAUGGGCGAAAGCCUGAUGCAGCGACGCCGCGUGAGGGAUGACGGCCUUCGGGUUGUAAACCUCUUUCAGCAGGGAAGAAGCCACAAGUGACGGUACCUGCAGAAGAAGCGCCGGCUAACUACGUGCCAGCAGCCGCCGUAACAC